rnacentral:rRNA from 1 species
GAUGAACGCUGGCGGAAUGCUUUACACAUGCAAGUCGAACGGCAGCACGGACUUCGGUCUGGUGGCGAGUGGCGAACGGGUGAGUAAUGUAUCGGAACGUGCCCAGUCGUGGGGGAUAACGCAGUGACAAUUACGCUAAUACCGCAUACGAACUAGGGAUGAAAGCGGGGGAUCGCAAGACCUAGCGCGAUUGGAGCGGCAGAUAUCAGAUUAGGUAGUUGGUGGGGUAAAGGCCCACAAAGUCAACGAUGUGUAGGUGGGCUGGGAUGACGACCAGCGACACUGGAACUGGGACGCGGUCCAGACUCCUACGGGGGGCAGCGGUGGGGGAUUUUGGACAAUUGGCGAAGGCCUGGUCGAGCAUUUCCGCGUGCAGGAUGAAGGCUCUCGGGUCGUAAACUGCUUUUGUACAGAACGAAAAGGUUUCUACUAAUACUAGGGGCUCAUGACGGUACUGGAAGAAUAAGCACCGACUAACUACGUGCCAGCAGCCGCGGUAA